GACCGUUCCAUGAAUAUGUGGAGGUGAGCCACCCAAUUAAAGAUUUAAGUUCUCUUUCUAGAUACAAAACUCGUUCCCCAUUCAAUGUUAUAUUUACUCUCGUACUAUAGGAUUCAAUUGGAUCUCUUAACUGGUCUUCUUUCCAAUCUCUCAAUGUUAAUCUAAUAAAAGCUCAUAAGAAUCCUAAUACUAUUCUUGCAAUCUAAUACUACUCACAGGAUGAUUAAAGAUAACAACUCUUCAUCAAGGGGCGUACUCCUUAAUCCAUAAACUAAUAGAACUCUCACUCAUGAUAAUAGAGGAAUAAAAGGACAUUAUUAUUGAAAUAAUGGGAAUAAUUCAUAAAUCGUAUUUUAUAACAAUGUGUAUAAGUUAUAACUUGUGUUUUGCUCCCUCAAUUUGUUUGUUCAUAUGAGGUCAUAAGUCGCAUCUACUUAUAGUAAUAAAUUUGGUGACCA
rnacentral:lncRNA from 1 species